rnacentral:tRNA from 1 species
CAGAGAAUAGUUUAAUGAAGUAAUACCAGCUUUGGGAGUUGGAGGUAGAGGUUUAAGUCCUCUUUUUCUGAU